GAUGAACGCUGGCAGAAUGCUUAACACAUGCAAGUCAACUUGAACUUCGGUUUGGGUGGCGGACGGGUGAGUAACGCGUAAAGAACUUGCCUCACAGCUAGGGACAACAUUUGGAAACGAAUGCUAAUACCUGAUAUUAUGAUUAUAUGGCAUCGUAUAAUUAUGAAAGCUAUAUGCGCUGUGAGAGAGCUUUGCGUCCCAUUAGCUAGUUGGAGAGGUAACAGCUCACCAAGGCGAUGAUGGGUAGCCGGCCUGAGAGGGUGAUCGGCCACAAGGGGACUGAGACACGGCCCUUACUCCUACGGGAGGCAGCAGUGGGGAAUAUUGGACAAUGGACCGAGAGUCUGAUCCAGCAAUUCUGUGUGCACGAUGAAGUUUUUCGGAAUGUAAAGUGCUUUCAGUUGGGAAGAAAAAAAUGACGGUACCAACAGAAGAAGUGACGGCUAAAUACGUG
rnacentral:rRNA from 1 species